rnacentral:rRNA from 1 species
AUGGCCGCCACCAAGCGAUCCGCUGCCGCCGUCGACGGCCACGCCAACCGGCCGGGAGCGACCUGCGUCAAGAAGAGGCGCAUCGGAACCACCGGGGACUACGAUCAUGAGUCCUCCCUGGGCGAGGGCAUGUUCGGCGUCGUCGCCAAAAGGCGGCACCGUGCCACCGGCCAAGUCGUCGCCAUCAAGUCCUUCCGCAAUCCAGACAAGAAGGACGAGCCCGUCGACGCCCAGGAGGUGCUGCGGGAGGCCCGCUUCCUGGAGGCGUGCGGCGGCCACCCGCACAUCGUCGGCUUCCGCGGCGUCGUGCGGGACUACGUCACCAACGAGCUCUGCCUCGUCAUGGAGUACGUCCAAGGACAGAGCCUCCACUGCCUCCUGAGGGAGAGGCGCGGCGGGCUCCCGGAGGCCACGGUGCGCGACUACAUGUGGCAGCUCCUGACGGCGGCCACCAAGAUGCACCGGUGCCACGUCGUCCACCGCGACAUCAAGCCGGCAAACAUAAUCGUCGGAGAAGGAGAAGGAGAAGGAACGGUCAAGCUCUGCGACUUCGGGGUCGCCUUGUCCAUGUCGGAGGCGCCGCCGUACAGGCAGGCCGGCACGGGCAUGUACCGAGCCCCCGAGAUGCUCCUAGGAAAGCGAGACUACGACGCCCUGGUGGACACGUGGUCGCUUGGGUGCGUCAUGGCGGAGACCAUCACCGGCGAGAGGCUGUUCGACGAGGACAAUUCGACUUGUCUUCUCCGAAGGAUCUUCGAGGUGGUCGGGAUGCAGGACGACACAACCUGGCCGGGGUUCUCGUCCCUGCCGCUCGCGGACGCGGUGCCACAGGUGCCGACGGUGCAGCGGAGCACACUGCGAGAGCUGUUCCCGUAG